rnacentral:rRNA from 1 species
UACGUAGGGGGCAAGCGUUGUCCGGAUUCAUUGGGCGUAAAGCGCUCGUAGGCGGCUUGGCAAGUCGGGUGUGAAAACUCCAGGCUCAACCUGGAGACGCCACCCGAUACUGCCAUGGCUAGAGUCCGGUAGGGGACCACGGAAUUCCUGGUGUAGCGGCGAAAUGCGCAGAUAUCAGGAGGAACACCGGUGGCGAAGGCGGUGGUCUGGGCCGGAACUGACGCUGAGGAGCGAAAGCGUGGGGAGCGAACAGG